GACGAAGGACCCGAGCGUUAUCCGGAUUCAUUGGGUUUAAAGGGUGCGUAGGCGGAUCGAUAAGUCAGUGGUGAAAGCCCGUUGCUUAACAACGGAACUGCCAUUGAUACUGCCGAUCUUGAAUAUGUUUGAUGUGGGCGGAAUAUGACAUGUAGCGGUGAAAUGCUUAGAUAUGUCAUAGAACACCGAUUGCGAAGGCAGCUCACAAAGCCAUUAUUGACGCUGAGGCACGAAAGCGUGGGGAUCAAACAGG
rnacentral:rRNA from 1 species